GUUGAAAAGAACUUUGAAGAGAGAGUUCAAAAGUACGUGAAACCGUUCUGGGGUAAACGCGAGAAGUCCGAAAGGUCGAACGGGGAGAUUCACGUCCACCCGGCCGCUGGCCUCCGCUCCCGGCAGAUGGGGCCGGCCGCCCGCUCGGAGCAAUCCGCGGCGGGGUCGUGUCCGGUUGUCUUUCCACUCGCCGAGGGGCGGAGCCGUUCCAGUGUGCGGUGGGCCGCACUUCUCCUCUUGUAGGACGUCGCGACCCGCCGGGUGCCGGCCUAAGGCCCGGGUGCCAGCCUGCCAGGCCGCUGUCUUCGGUCAGCGUUCGUCGGGCAGAGCCCCGGUGCAUCCCCGGCCGGCUGCUCGGCGGUAUGUACACCGUGGAGUCGAUUCGCCAAAUUUGUUUUGGGCGCCCUGGGCCCCCGGCAAGCGCGCGCGGUUCUUCCCGGAUGACGGUCCUACUGGGCCCGGCUCCGGACCCGCGCCGCUGUUGGCUCGGGUGUGUCCUCGGGCGGAAUGAUCGCUCCGGUCAGCGGCGCUUCAGCUUUGGACAAUUUCGCGACCCGUCUUGAAACACGGACCAAGGAGUCUAACAUGUGCGCGAGUCAUUGGGCUCUGACGAAACCUAAAGGCGCAAUGAAAGUGAAGGUCUCGCCUUGCGCGGACCGAGGGGAGAUGGGGCCCAACCGGGCGCGCUCCGGCGCGCCGGCGGCCUCCGCAUUCCCGGGGCGUCUCGUCCUCAUCGCGAGGUGAGGUGCACCCAGAGCGUACACGUUGGGACCCGAAAGAUGGUGAACUAUGCCUGGCCAGGACGAAGUCAGGGGAAACCCUGAUGGAGGUCCGUAGCGAUUCUGACGUGCAAAUCGAUCGUCGGAGCUGGGUAUAGGGGCGAAAGACUAAUCGAACCAUCUAGUAGCUGGUUCCCUCCGAAGUUUCCCUCAGGAUAGCUGGUGCUCAGACGAGUCUCAUCCGGUAAAGCGAAUGAUUAGAGGCCUUGGGGCCGAAACGACCUCAACCUAUUCUCAAACUUUAAAUGGGUGAGACCUCCGGCUUGCUUAAUGCGCUGAAGCCGCGAGCUUUGAAACUCGGAUCGGAGUGCCAAGUGGGCCACUUUUGGUAAGCAGAACUGGCGCUGUGGGAUGAACCAAACGCCGAGUUAAGGCGCCCGACUCGACGCUCAUGGGAAACCAUGAAAGGCGUUGCUUGCUUAAGACAGCAGGACGGUGGCCCUGGAAGUCGGAAUCCGCUAAGGAGUGUGUAACAACUCACCUGCCGAAGCAACUAGCCCUGAAAAUGGAUGGCGCUGAAGCGUCGGGCCUAUACUCGGCCGUCAGUCCGGCAGUCACGGCCGGUCCUCUCGAGGCCGGCCGCGAAGCCCUGACGAGUAGGAGGGUCGCGGCGGUGGGCGCAGAAGGGUCUGGGCGUGAGCCUGCCUGGAGCCGCCGUCGGUGCAGAUCUUGGUGGUAGUAGCAAAUACUCCAGCGAGGCCCUGGAGGACUGACGCGGAGAAGGGUUUCGUGUGAACAGCCGUUGCACACGAGUCAGUCGAUCCUAAGCCCUAGGAGAAAUCCGAUGUCGAUGGGGGCCACACUCAUACAGUUGGCCGGCCCCCGUUGGGCGAAAGGGAAUCCGGUUCCUAUUCCGGAACCCGGCAGCGGAACCGAUACAAGUCGGGCCCCUCAUCUGAGAAGCUCGUCGGGGUAACCCAAAAGGACCCGGAGACGCCGUCGGGAGAUCGGGGAAGAGUUUUCUUUUCUGCAUGAGCGUUCGAGUUCCCUGGAAU
rnacentral:rRNA from 1 species